AUUGAACGCUGGCGGCAGGCCUAACACAUGCAAGUCGAACGAGUGGCGGACGGGUGAGUAAUGUCUGGGAAACUGCCCGAUGGAGGGGGAUAACUACUGGAAACGGGAGCUAAUACCGCAUACCAUCGGAUGUGCCCAGAGGGGAUUAGCUAGUAGGUGGGGUAAAGGCUCACCAAGGCGCCGAUCCCUAGCUGGUCUGAUGGGAGGACCAGCCACACGGGAACUGGUACACGGUCCAGACUCCUACGGGAGGAAGCAGUGGGGAAGAUUGCACAAUGGGCGCAAGCCUGAUGCAGCCAUGCCGCGUGUAUGAAGAAGGCCUGCGGGUUGUAAAGUACUUUCAGCGGGGAGGCGUUACCCGCAGAAGAAGCACCGGCUAACUCCGUGCCAGCAGCCGCGGUAAUUC
rnacentral:rRNA from 1 species